ACCUCCCAACCCUGUGUCUACCACACCUUGUCGUUGCUUCGGCGGACCGGCCGCGCGUUUCGUGACCAACUGGUCGCACGCCGGCCGCCGGGGGCCCUUCGUGCCCCUGGAGAGCGUCCGCCGAUGGCCCAACCACACAAACUCUUGUACCGAAACGUGUCGUCUGAACGAAAACAA
rnacentral:rRNA from 1 species